rnacentral:rRNA from 1 species
CGUGUAGGCGGUUGGUCAAGUCUGGUGUGAAAGCCCGGGGCUUAGCUCCGGAAGUGCGCUGGAAACUAGCCGACUGGAGCGCGAUAGAGGAGGGUGGAAUUCCUGGUGUAGCGGUGAAAUGCGUAGAUAUCAGGAGGAACACCGGCGGCGAAGGCGGCCCUCUGGAUCGUUGCUGACGCUGAGACGCGAAAGCGUGGGGAGCAAACAGGAUUAGAUACCCUGGUAGUCCACGCUGUAAACUAUGGGUACUAGGUGUUCGGGGUGUUGACCCCCUGAGUGCCGACGCUAACGCAUUAAGUACCCCGCCUGGGGACUACGGCCGCAAGGCUAAA